GCAUAGUGAUAGAUCCAAUUUUUAUCUUGAAUGGUGCUUCAAGCACCGUAUAUGUGGGGUUAUUUUUUGGCCCUUAUUUUUUUAAAUCUUCCUUCCUCUUUUCUUUGUAUAAAAAUAUAAGAUGCGGCUCGAAAUGUAUUGUUUUUUAUAUGGUCAUCGGCCUGUCCUUGUUUGGUUUCAUAUAUGAGCUUUUCUCCUCCAACAUCUUAUUAUGUAUGGCAUUUCCAAUAACUUUUUGCAAUGUCAUCUCGAUGGCUUGCAUAUAUAUGAUAUUGACGGGAAGGGCCUGUAACUAUAGGGGGUACCAUGAUUGUGUUGGAUUGCUUUGACCUUUACAGAACAUUAUUUUUCAAGAAAAAGAAAUAUAGCUGUAUUUUGAUAUCAUCUUUUCUUGUAUUGCAGGUUCUAUAUUCCGUAACUCGCCGCGUUUGGUGUCUACGUUUGGACUAUAUCUUACUGAUUUACAUUAGGGGCUAACUGGUGUUCAAUUUUUCAUUUCAUUCCUACCUCUAAAGAUAGUGCUUUUAAAAAAUGUUGGCCUUCAGUAAAACAUGCUGGAUGAUGUGCUGAGAACAAACUGAAGGUGCUGAGAUCUAUGCAGUACCUGUUUUCUGAUCUGAUCUAUGUAUUGUACUUGUGAGAGAUGAUGGCACGUAUGAAUAAUGAAAAUCGAUGUUAUUAUUUUCUUUCUGAGGUAGUACUGUAUUGUGUUUUAUUUAUAAAUUUUAUUUGAGGUCAAAUAUCAAUAAGGCUGCGUUUGUUUA